UACGUAGGUGGCAAGCGUUAUCCGGAAUUACUGGGCGUAAAGCGCACGCAGGCGGUCUUGUAAGUUUGACGUGAAAGCUCCCGGCUUAACUGGGAGAGGUCGUUGAAGACUGCAAGACUUGAGGAAAUGAGAGGGGUGUAGAAUUCCCGGUGUAGUGGUGGAAUGCGUAGAUAUCGGGGGGAAUACCAGAGGCGAAGGCGGCUACCUGGACAAUUGCUGACGCUCAGGCACGAAAGCGUGGGGAGCAAAAGGG
rnacentral:rRNA from 1 species